AAAUAGGUCUAGUUAUCGUAUUAUUACUACGGUUCAAAUUACAGGCCCAGAUAAUAAAUAACGAUUUGUUUAAGUUAAAAACUAUUUUAUUUACGGGUUUCUUAAUUAUUCAAAUUCAAAUACACCGCGGUGAAAUUUUAUUUUAUCUUAUUAUAGAUGUAAAUUAAUCGGAAUUUUUUUUUUAUCAUAAUGUGAGAACAAGCGAGUUGUCAUGUGUAAUCAAUCUCCUAUAAACUUCCUUGCAAACUACAUGGCUAACCAAAAUUUGUUUACUGAAGAAAGGGGAUUCACCAAGAGAAGAGGAUUGUUCCUGAUGGCGUGAAUGCCAAGUUUAUGUCUCGCCAUGGUCCGUCGGCUAACCGUCAGCCUGGAAAUGCGUUCUUGUCAGCUGCAGGGUGCACAAUGAUGAUUUGUGGAUGUGAAUUCGAUAAGUUUUGCAUAUGCCUUUUUUGAGCUAUCAGUUUCAAAGUUUACUCUUGGGAUUUUUUUGUUCAUGGAUGAGUGCUAUGGUCGACUUUGAUUUUUUUUUUUUGAAAGAAUGUUAAAUUAAUUCAAACAAAAAAUGAUUCUACAUUGUAGUAGAAUUUUUUAUAAAAAAAACUGAUGCUUCAUGAAUC